rnacentral:rRNA from 1 species
UACGUAGGGUUCAAGCGUUAUCCGGAAUCACUGGGCGUAAAGCGUGCGUAGGUGGCGUGUUAAGUGCAAUGCGAAAUCCUGUGGCUCAACCAUAUGGACUGUAUUGCAUACUGGCAUGCUAGAGGACGGCAGAGGCAAGUGGAAUUACCGGUGUAGCAGUGAAAUGCGUAGAGAUCGGUAGGAACACCAAUGGCGAAGGCAGCUUGCUGGGCCGACCCUGACGCUAAGGGCACGAAAGCGUGGGGAGCGAACAGG